rnacentral:rRNA from 1 species
AGCUUUCUGGACUAAUACUGACACUGAGGUACGAAAGCGUGGGUAGCAAACAGGAUUAGAUACCCUGGUAGUCCACGCCGUAAACGAUGACAACUAGCCGUUGGGAGGGUUUACCUCUUAGUGGCGAAGCUAACGCGUUAAGUUGUCCGCCUGGGGAGUACGGCCGCAAGGUUAAAACUCAAAGGAAUUGACGGGGACCCGCACAAGCGGUGGAGCAUGUGGUUUAAUUCGAUGCAACGCGAAGAACCUUACCUGGUCUUGACAUACACGGAACUUUCCAGAGAUGGAUUGGUGCCUUCGGGAACCGUGAUACAGGUGCUGCAUGGCUGUCGUCAGCUCGUGUCGUGAGAUGUUGGGUUAAGUCCCGUAACGAGCGCAACCCCUAUCCUUAUUUGCCAGCACGUCAUGGUGGGAACUAUAAGGAGACUGCCGGUGAUAAACCGGAGGAAGGCGGGGACGACGUCAAGUCAUCAUGGCCCUUAUGACCAGGGCUACACACGUGCUACAAUGGAGCGUACAGAGGGUUGCUAAGCCGCGAGGUGGAGCCAAUCCCAGAAAACGUUUCGUAGUCCGGAUCGAAGUCUGCAACUCGACUUCGUGAAGUCGGAAUCGCUAGUAAUCGCGAAUCAGCAUGUCGCGGUGAAUACGUUCCCGGGCCUUGUACACACCGCCCGUCACACCAUGGGAGUGGGUUGCAAAAGAAGUGGCUAGUCUAACCUUCGGGAGGACGGUCACCACUUUGUGAUUCAUGACUGGGGUGAAGUCGUAACAAGGUAGCCGUA